GUGGAAUAUUGGACAAUGGGCGAAAGCCUGAUCCAGCCAUGCCGCGUGUGUGAAGAAGGUCUUCGGAUUGUAAAGCAUCUUAAGUUGGGAGGAAGGGUUUCUGGCUAAUAUCCAGGAAUUUUGACGUUACCGACAGAAUAAGCACCGGCUAACUUCGUGCCAGCAGCCGCGGUAAUACGAAGGGUGCAAGCGUUAAUCGGAAUUACUGGGCGUAAAGCGCGCGUAGGUGGUUCGUUAAGUUGGAUGUGAAAGCCCCGGGCUCAACCUGGGAAGUGCAGGCAAAACGGGCGAGCUAGAGUAUGGCAGAGGGGGGUGGAUUUUCCUGUGUAGCGGUGAAAUGCGGAGAUAUAGGAAGGAACAACAGUGGCGAAGGCGACCACGUGGGCUAAUACUGACACUGAGGUGCGAGCGCGUGGGGAGCAAACA
rnacentral:rRNA from 1 species